rnacentral:rRNA from 1 species
AUUGAACGCUGGCGGCAGGCUUAACACAUGCAAGUCGAGCGGGAUCCAUCAGGCUUUGCUUGGUGGUGAGAGUGGCGAACGGGUGAGUAAUGCGUGACCGACCUGCCCCAUACACCGGAAUAGCUCCUGGAAACGGGUGGUAAUGCCGGAUGCUCCGACUCCUCGCAUGGGGUGUCGGGAAAGAUUUCAUCGGUAUGGGAUGGGGUCGCGUCCUAUCAGGUAGUCGGCGGGGUAACGGCCCACCGAGCCUACGACGGGUAGCCGGCCUGAGGGUGCGACGGGCCACAUUGGGACUGAGAUACGGCCCAGACUCCUACGGGAGGCAGCAGUGGGGAAUAUUGCACAAUGGGCGCAAGCCUGAUGCAGCGACGCCGCGUGCGGGAUGACGGCCUUCGGGUUGUAAACCGCUUUUGAUCGGGAGCAAGCCUUCGGGUGAGUGUACCUUUCGAAUAAGCACCGGCUAACUACGUGCCAGCCGCCGCGGUAA